rnacentral:rRNA from 1 species
UACGGAGGGUGCAAGCGUUAUCCGGAUUCACUGGGUUUAAAGGGUGUGUAGGCGGAUAUUUAAGUCCGAGGUGAAAUCUCUGAGCUCAACUCAGAAACUGCCUUGGAUACUAUUUAUCUUGAAUAUCUUGAGGUAGGCGGAAAUAUGUCAUGUAGCGGUGAAAUGCUUAGAUAUGAACAUAGAACACCGAUUGCGAAGGCAGCUUGCUAAACGAAUUAUUGACGCUGAGGCAACGAAAGCGUGGGGAGUCAAACAGGAAUUAGAUACCCGGUG